GCACAAAAGUAGAAUUAAGACAUCCGGGAUAAAUGACUCAGCUGAGCUCAAUGAAGCCAAAACAUGUGCGUCCAGGCUUAAUUGGUUGCACAAAGACCAAGCCAGGAUGAGCAGACACGGAUUCAUUAAGCCAGGUGAAACCAAUCCUGGAUAGGUGCGCGCUCACGGCUCACUCAAAUAGACCCCGCCACAGAUCACAGAUUAACUGAUUUACCAUGGCAACUAGAGCCGCGUACUUUUCCCCGUCGGAAGCACAAAUCCUCAUGGAGGCAUACGAGGAGGUAAAAGAUAUAAUUAAGAAGAAAGGCAACACCGCCACAGUGAUAAAGCAAAGAGAAAAAGCGUGGCAAAGUAUUGCAGACCGCCUGAAUGCAUGGUCUGCAAUGCUGACUGUGUGAUCAGCAAUGUUGUGGCAAAAUGGCCUGGCUCAGUCCAUGACUCCAGAAUCUUUCGGGCCUCUGAAAUCUAUCAGUGCCUAUCACAAGGUGAAUUCUCUGGUGUGUUGCUGGGAGACAGGGGGUAUGGCUGCCAGCCUUUUCUCCUGACACCUUUCACAGACCCCCAGGAAGCACAGCAGGCCUACAACCAUGCCCAUGCCAGGACCAGGGCCAGAGUUGAAAUGACCUUUGGCCUCCUGAAGGCACGCUUUCACUGCCUUCACAAAUUAAGGGUCAGCCCUGUUAGGGCAUGUGAUAUUACUGUGGCUUGUGCUGUCCUCCACAAUGUGGCCUGCCUGAGGAAGGAGAGGGCCCCCAGAGUGCCACCAGCCAUGGACUGGGACAAUCCGGCAAUCUUCCCUGAUGACGACAGUGGUCGGCUGCUGAGGGACCAAUAUGUGUUGAAUUAUUUUAGUUAGUAUGUGUGCUUUCAAUUUUGGUUAAAUAUGUCCUGCGGUGGCAGAGGAAUUUGUUUUUUUUGGGGUUCGUUUUUUUACGAAUUAUGCCUCUUAUGAUGUUUGUGCGGUAUACUGUGUGUAAUACAAGGCUGCAGGGAGGCUACUGCAUCCAUUCAUUUGUCUGUUCAGUUGAUGUGUAUGGAUUUGUCCUGCAUUUAUUUUAGUGUGCAGACAUGCAGGGUGUGUUAUAUACAGACCUUUGAAUGUGUAUGUAUCAUUUGGUAUAAUAUGCUUGGAUUCUGUGCUAUCCAUCUUGUAGAGUCACUGUGACUUCAGUUUCGAAAGGAGCUGAUGGUUUACCUGCUUUGUUUUGUCCUUAUUCAAUAAAGGAACAUAAUGUUACACAUUGUGUUUUUAUAUUCA